rnacentral:rRNA from 1 species
ACGUAGGGUGCAAGCGUUGUCCGGAUUUAUUGGGCGUAAAGAGCUCGUAGGCGGUCUGUCGCGUCGGAUGUGAAAUCCCAGGGCUCAACCCUGGGCCUGCAUUCGAUACGGGCAGACUGGAGUAUGGCAGGGGAGACUGGAAUUCCUGGUGUAGCGGUGAAAUGCGCAGAUAUCAGGAGGAACACCGGUGGCGAAGGCGGGUCUCUGGGCCAAAACUGACGCUGAGGAGUAAAAGCAUGGGGAGCGAACAGGA